rnacentral:rRNA from 1 species
AACGAACGCUGGCGGCAUGCCUAACACAUGCAAGUCGAACGAGACCUUCGGGUCUAGUGGCGCAUGGGUGCGUAACGCGUGGGAACCUGCCCUUAGGUUCGGAAUAACUCCCCGAAGGGGGUGCUAAUACCGGAUAAUGUCUUCGGACCAAAGAUUUAUCGUCUUUGGAUGGGCACGCGUUGGAUUAGCUAGUUGGUAGGGUAAAAGCCUACCAAGGCGACGAUCCAUAGCUGGUCUGAGAGGAUGAUCAGCCACACUGGGACUGAGACACGGCCCAGACUCCUACGGGAGGCAGCAGUGGGGAAUAUUGGACAAUGGGCGAAAGCCUGAUCCAGCAAUGCCGCGUGAGUGAUGAAGGCCUUAGGGUUGUAAAGCUCUUUUACCCGGGAUGAUAAUGACAGUACCGGGAGAAUAAGCUCCGGCUAACUCCGUG